CUACACUUCUCUAAAACCCUAGCUACCAGCCACCGCGUUCCUCCUCCUUCUUUACGAUUCAACUCAAACCUUAACUAUCAGCCACCGUGAUCCUCUUUUUUCUUAGUUGUUCAACGAUUCAAACCCUAAAGCAAUUUCCCCAUUCAUCUUUUUCAUAUAUACAAUCAAUGUCAUAGAGCAAUUGAAUGGUUGAAGAAAAUACGCCUCUGCCUUUCUUUUCUAUCUUCUGGAAUCAUAAUCAAUUUUUUUUGUUGGAAGUGGACACUCAAUUUUCCCUGCUCUGAUCAAGAACAACGGUUCCCUGCCUUUUAACGUUAUCCUUUAUGCUUCGAGGUCUAUUCUGGUAAUAAAUAUAUAAGAAAUGGCUGAAUUUGCAAAGGGAGGAAAAAGUGUUCCAAAGUCUAUUUUUAAGAACAGAAAAGAAAUGAAGACUGGGCUCUUGCAAAGAAGCAAGAGACUAAGGAGUUGAAGAAGAAGAAUGCUGCCAACAGGAAGUUGAUCUUCAAACCCUAAAUCGAUAUCCCAAGAUGUUGCUGCCCAAGUGGAGUGAGGUUGCAUUUUGUUAGAGCAUUGCUGAGAAGUAAACUAAUGGAGUCUUUACUUUUGAUAAGGUUUGUUGAAGAAUUUUUUUCAUGACUUGCAUGAAGAAGUGACGAUGGCUGCUGCUCAUGGCCAUGGUCUACUAAUAGGCGUUCAACAACUUGAGUCACAAAUCCCUUCAAUGGAAAUUUGAAAGGGCGUUUCUAUCUGAAACAUCCCAUUCAGCCUUAAAUGAGUUGACCAAUGUCCUUUCUUAGUUAGUGGAGCUUUUCUUAAGGGUACAGGAGGAAGCUUAAAACAGGAUUGUGUAGCCAAAAUGGAACCAUCCAAGGGUUUUUAUUGGUACACAUUGGAUAUGGGAGCAGCACAAGCGAUGAAGAGAAUUCCACAGAUCACGUUUGUACAACAUCAUUCUAUGCCUUUGGUUUGUAUUCGUUUUGAUCUUUUCGUUUUUUUGUUAAGACAUUUGAUUUGUUUGUGUUAAUGUGUGGAUAGGUUGUUUAUUGUUAGUUUAGGUUUCCGAUUAUCAUUUUUUUGGAUUAGAUGUCAGAAAAUGUGUUAUGUAUUAAGUUAGGGUUAGGGACUUUUGGUUGGAAUAAGAGAAUUGGAUUUGCUGACUGAUUUGGUGAGAUUGAUUUGAAGAAUAUGAUACGUGACCUGAACUGUUUGAAAACUUUUGUUGUAUUAGGGCCAUCAUAACUUGAAUACAUGGUACUAACUUUUCUUGAGGAUAACAAUGACUGUGAAGACCAAAUAAAAAUCUGUUUGGAACGUGUAUUGACUUCGAGUGUAAUGACAUUGUGCUCUGUCUUAUAAGUUCUUAUUUUAUCAGUUGAAGUGUGUAUUUCACUGUCAAUUCACAACUAGAAACUGGAGCUUCAUCUUCUCCUUCAAGACAAAGUCUUGAGUUGAAGAAAUCAUGGGGGAUGUGUGGACUGUUUUUUGUUAUCAAAUAUUUUGCUCUUGGGCAUAUGAUUAUCACUUAUCCGACUAACUGCAGAGCAUGAAGAAAACUUAUGCUUCACCGAAUUGAUCCUGAAUCAGUUCUUUCGAGCAAAUAUUUGUUUACAUCUGUGGAUGUGAAAGUGCCACCAUCACCAACGGCUGAUGUUAGGGCACCACAAAGUGACAAUGAAAUCAGAAGAAAACCUGUGGGUCAAGUUCCCACUGAUGCUAAUUCGAUUCUUCGGUGAUAUGGAAAAUCUAUUCAUGGGUUUCUCCGGCAACAAUCAACUUUGUUAUUCUCUUGGCAAGUGGUCCCGGAAGAAGAAAUCUUAACCGAUCAUCUUCUCAACGCCGAGCACCACUUCAGUUUGUUCAAAACAGAGUUCGGUAAAACGUAUGCGACUGCAAAGAUAGUUACGGAGCUUGAUGGUCAUGUGAUGCGUUGUAUGCUCAAAAGGGCAAUCAUGUUAUUCAGAAGUUUAUUGAAUGGGUACCAGAAAAUGCUAUUCAUUUUAUAAUCUCUACUUUCUAUGAUCAAGUUGUAACUUUGUCAACCCAUCCGUAUGGUUGUCGUCAUGUCAUACAGAGAGUUUUGGAACACUGUCAUGACCUUAAAACACAAAGCUUAGUGUUGGAUGAAAUCUUGAAAUCUAUCAAUAUGUUGGCCCAACAUUAAUAUGGAAAUUAUGUCGUUCAGAAAUUUUUGGGUCCAUUUGGUUAAGAGGUGGCAAGUUGACUGGUGAAACUGGGACCCUUGGCUAUAUUGCAACGCAUGGGAAAGCUUAUAUCUUCAUUCAAGUAUUUUUAAGAACUUCAUUUUCCGAUUAUAUGUCGUGAACUUGCGAUUCAUGUUUCAAUUAUGUGAGAUGAACACCAGAGAGACGGUGCCGAAACACUCGCUGUUUCGAUUUGGUGAGUUUUUCCCUAUUCGAUGAGUUAGGUUUCGGGAAUACAUUGAUUAGGUUACUUUUAGCUGUUUUGUUAUGAAUUUUUGUGAGUUUAUGUUUUUGAUUGGUUAAUUAAAGGUGUCCAGUUGAAACGAGCAUUUGUUGGAGACAAUGCAACCAGGUGUCAUCAAAGCAAUAACCGUAAAGGUAUUGUGAAUUCCACUGCUAAUUACUUUUAAUUUGUGUGUUAUUGACUUUUUUUGUGAAAAUUAAAAUAAUUUAGGGCAACUGCGUCUCAUUAAUGUAGUCAACCGGGAUUGGGCUAAUAUUUUGUUUAUUGAUUGCCGUUUGAUAUUCAUUGGGAUGCAUUAUCUGGUCAAUAACACCUCUAACUAUUUGCCAAUAUCAAGGGUCUGCCCCCUUCUUCACUAAAAUGGUGUGUCCUCUUAACACCUUUUCCAUUUUCUUUUAUGAUCUUACAAUUCAAUAUUAUCUCUUUAUGAUCAGUAGUUGUAAUAGACUAAUAGUAAGUCAUAGCAGUGGAUACAUUUGAUACUCUUGAUGUUGUCAUAAUAAAGUCUUUUGUAACUACAUGAUAUUAACAUUGUCAAAUUUACACACAUACAAGUGGAACAUAAAGAAUGUUUAAUGUCUUUUGUCUAAGUACGCGGAUCGCUAUUGAUCCUAUUAAUGAUGUCUACUAAGAGUUGAUAUUGAAGAAUUUAGAAGAAGAUUUGCUUUUAGGGAGCAUUUAUACAUGAGUCUCAACAACAAAGAAGGUUACUCUACGAUGUAACAGUAGUUUUAGGCAUUCUUACAUUUAGGCUUGCUCAUUUCUAUUUCUAUUUCUUUAAUUUAUAUAGUUGCAGCGAACUCCGAGCAGGCGAAGAGACGGGCAAGAUGGAACAACUGUCCAAUGUUUUACUGCAGCAACGGGUCACACAAGAUUGUGUUGGCAUGUGGUGUUCUUAAGGUACCCAUUAGGAAGGAUAUCAUUCACCGUGUUGUUAGAUGGCAGCUUGAUAAAGGACAACAAGUAUUAUAUAUUUCUCUAAUUUAUAAUUUAAUCUUAGAAUAUCAAUGAUCUUUAAUCAUACGACAUUGAAUAUACAUUAACAAGAAUCCUGCAAAGUUGCCACCAUUAUUCAGGUAUUUGUUUACUUAGUGGAUGAUAUAUGUUCAAGUUUAUGUUGUUAAUAAGUGUUGGUGUAACAGGUGGAUAAUGUUAACAGACAUGGCAUACUUUUGGAAGUUGUACAAGUUCUUACCGAUACCAAUUUCAUCUUCGCAAAGCUUACAUAAGUUCUAAUGGAGGGUGGUUCAUGGAUGAUAUGCAGGGAUAAAAAUCAAGCAAAUUCAUGGUUUCGUGGCUUAAGUGCAAUUUACUUGCUUUGUAGUUUUAAUAUGAAGGAAAUUGGCAAGAGUCAUAUAAGUUUAAUAAGUUUUGAACUUAUUGAGUUGUUAGACUUUAAUUUGUUCAACUAAGUGAUAUUAAGCCUAUGAUAAUUGAUUUUGUUGUGUUUCAUGUUGACAUACAUGUGUGUUAUCUCUAAUCGGGAUGGAUUCUCACAUGUAUGAUUACAUUUAAAAUAAUCGACAAGGUGUAGACGGCCUGAAU